rnacentral:rRNA from 1 species
CACGUAGGGGGCAAGCGUUGUCCGGAUUUAUUGGGCGUAAAGAGCUCGUAGGCGGCUUAGUAAGUCGGGUGUGAAACCUCCAGGCUCAACCUGGAGACGCCACCCGAUACUGCUGUGGCUAGAGUCCGGUAGGGGAGCGUGGAAUUCCUGGUGUAGCGGUGGAAUGCGCAGAUAUCAGGAGGAACACCGGUGGCGAAGGCGGGUCUCUAGUACGGUACUGACGCUGAGACGCGAAAGCGUGGGAGCAAACAGG